rnacentral:tRNA from 1 species
GAAAAAUUAGUUAAUAAUAUAAUAUAAAUAUGUCAUAUUUAAGUUACUAAUUUUAGUAUUUUUUU